ensembl:lncRNA
CUGUUCCUUCUCACUGCUUUCUGUGUGAUUCCACUGCCCACACUGAUGUUCUCAGCAACUUCUAUAACAUAUGUUCACGGUUGCAUUACUUUUGGAGCUCCAAUCGUUUGUCUAACAUGUUUAUAUAUCUCAAUAACAUGGACCCUGAAAUAAACAAAUGGUUUGCCUCCAGAACACUGCUAACACCCCAGAGUUCCUGAGGAAGUAUUAGGUUUAUUUUCACAGCCAAUUUCUGUCUUUUGACUGCCCUGGGUCCUGGCUUCAUUCCCAGAUCAGGUCUUAGCUCCUGCUAGGAGUCAACCAACUACUGAAAAUGCAGAGACUUAGAAACCAAAAGACCGGAAAAGAAGAGCUUGAAGAGCCAGCCCGCCAACAGGCUGUAUCUGGUUGGGGAGGCAGAACAGAGGCUCCUGCCAACCAUCAGAGGGAUUCCAGGACAGGCCUCAGAGCCCCUGAGACAAGCUACAGGAAGGUCAGGGGUGGAAAUGCUCUGAACUCAAUCCUGACUAUAACCUAACAGCAAUUUUUCUCAUUUGAUAUGUUCCAGGAGGUCCUAGCUUUAGUGAUAACUCCUGCCAUCAUCAGGUAAUAAAAGUCCUUUCUGCCUUGUUAACUGCCCCAGGAGAAUGUGAGUUGGCCUAGUGGCCUAAAAGUCUGUAUCCAGUGUGGAGGUAACCCUGAGAUAUAUAUAGGUUCCUAAUAAGAUAACAGGAUGGUCCUCAACCUCCUACACACUCUGAAAACCAGGCCUUUUAGAAAGUCCAAGAGCUUUACUAAACUAAGAGGGUUGCCCCAGGGUCACCUUUCUUAUGUUCACAGAUGCAGAGCAUUAAGCAAUAAAAGAACAAGAGAGGCAUGUUGGGCAAAUAACAUACAGAUGUAGUUGUCAUUUAGUCGCCAAGUAAUCUCAGACUCUUUCGUGACCCCAUGGACUGUGGCCUGCCAGGCUGCAGUCCAUGGGGUCGCUGAGAGUCAGACAUGACUGAGUGACUUCACUUUCAUUUUUCACUUUCAUGCAUUGGAGAAGGAAAUGGCAACCCACUCCAGUGUUCUUGCCUGGAGAAUCCCAGGGAUGGGGGAGCCUGGUGGGCUGCCGUCUCUGGGGUCACACAGAGUCGGACACGACUGAAGUGACUUAGCAGCAGCAGUAGUAGAGACUUGUUGAAAAUCUGAGUGUGACGUCCAUUUUACUGUCUUUAAGGCAUCCACCAAGGGCCUUCCUAUCCUUUCACAGCUGUUGUAGUCAUGAGCCAGAUAGAUAAGCUGCCUUUCUCAGGACUUGUGUCAUUCAAUUAAUGG